CCUACGGGUGGCAGCAGUAGGGAAUAUUGCUCAAUGGGGGAAACCCUGAAGCAGCAACGCCGCGUGGAGGAUGAAGGUUUUCGGAUUGUAAACCCCUUUUGUUAGGGAAGAUAAUGACCUUAUCUAACGAAUAAGCAACGGCUAAAUCCGUGCCAGCAGCCGCGGUAAUACGGAGGGUGCAAGCGUUAUUCGGAAUCACUGGGCGUAAAGUGCGCGUAGGCGGGAUGGCAAGUCAGAUGUGAAAUCCUAGGGCUUAACCAUAGAACUGCAUUUGAAACUGUUAUUCUAGAGUAUGGGAGAGGAAGGUGGAAUUCGUGGUGUAGGGGUAAAAUCCGUAGAGAUCAAGAGGAAUACUCAUUGCGAAGGCGACCUGCUGGAACAUAACUGACGCUGAUGCGCGAAAGCGUGGGGAGCAAACAGGAUUAGAUACCCUAGUAGUC
rnacentral:rRNA from 1 species